AGUCCGCUGGGUUCGGAGGAGCAGAGGCGGAAGGUCCCGGCGGCGGCGAGGAUGCGCCCCAGGGCGGGAGCGGGACGCUCCACUUUACCCUGGCUGCCCGCAACGGGCCAGGCCUGCCGUCUCUACCUCUCUACCUGUGAGUUUUUUCCCUGCAUUUACUUCAGUCUGCCGCGUCUUCUCCCCGCCCUUCUCUGUAAGGUUGUAUCCACGAGUACCAGCAGAGUGCCUGACACAUAGUAGACAUAAAUCAGGCUGAAGAAUGACCAUGAUGGAGAAUUGAGAAACAAGACCAUCUGCAUCAACAGGAAUUUGGUAGCUGAUCUAGGAAUGCAGCCUGAAGAAAUCAGCACCUCCUAGAUACAGAAUGAACAGAAGGGCUCAGAAGAAAUAUGAGGACAAAUAGGUAUGCUAGACUGAGGCAGAAGAGGCUUGAAUAUUGACUUCAUCUUUUAAGAUAACUCCCCAGAUCUCCAGUUGGUUGAAUGUGUGCAUGUAGAACCCACAGACACAGAGGAUGGGCUACAUUAUGUAGCGUCAGUGAUGGCUUCAUAGAAGAGUUGGAGACAGUUUAAACUAUAAAUGUGCAGCCU
rnacentral:lncRNA from 1 species